rnacentral:misc_RNA from 1 species
AAAUCUCAACCUCCUUUGUUCCUUCUGAGGAUCAAAGGAGGCUUGGACUUUGGAGGUCUUUGCUGGCGUCUUUAAAGGCCAGCUCCUCUCAAAUGAAUUAGCGGGGUCCUCUUUGCCGAUCCUUGACAUGUGAUAAGAUGCUUCCGUGUCUUGGUUUUCUGGCUCUGUUGCCUUUGGGACCCGCUUCUAAUCGUCUUGACCUUGCGUCGAGACAAUGUUCGAGCUCGUCUCCCUUCUCGGGAAACCCCUCGACCCCACGAAC